rnacentral:rRNA from 1 species
AGUGAACGCUGGCGGUAGGCCUAACACAUGCAAGUCGAACGGCAGCACAGUAAGAGUUUGCUCUUACGGGUGGCGAGUGGCGGACGGGUGAGGAAUACAUCGGAAUCUACUUUUUCGUGGGGGAUCACGUAGGGAAACUUACGCUAAUACCGCAUACGACCUACGGGUGAAAGCAGGGGAUCUUUGGACCUUGCGCGAUUGAAUGAGCCGAUGUCGGAUUAGCUAGUUGGCGGGGUAAAGGCCCACCAAGGCGACGAUCCGUAGCUGGUCUGAGAGGAUGAUCAGCCACACUGGAACUGAGACACGGUCCAGACUCCUACGGGAGGCAGCAGUGGGGAAUAUUGGACAAUGGGCGCAAGCCUGAUCCAGCCAUACCGCGUGGAUGAAGAAGGCCUUCGGGUUGUAAAGCCCUUUUGUUGGGAAAGAAAAGCAGCAGGUUAAUACCCCGCUGUGCUGACGGUACCCAAAGAAUAAGCACCGGCUAACUUCGUG